ACUAAGCGUGAUGAAAAAGUAUCCUUAGGCGUGGUUGUGGCCGUCUUGGUCACUUUUGUGCCAUUUGCCAAUGCAAGGACUUGUCAUAGUUACACUGACCGAUG
ensembl:snoRNA small nucleolar RNA, C/D box 46